CCUACGGGAGGCAGCAGUGGGGAAUAUUGGACAAUGGGGGAAACCCUGAUCCAGCGACGCCGCGUGAGUGAAGAAGUAUUUCGGUACGUAAAGCUCUAUCAGCAGGAAAGAAAAUGACGGUACCUGACUAAGAAGCCCCGGCUAACUACGUGCCAGCAGCCGCGGUAAUACGUAGGGGGCAAGCGUUAGCCGGAUUUACUGGGUGUAAAGGGAGCGUAGACGGCAGCGCAAGUCUGGAGUGAAAUGCCGGGGCUCAACCCUGGAACUGCUCUGGAAACUGUGAAGCUGGAGUGCAGGAGAGGUAAGCGGAAUUCCUGGUGUAGCGGUGAAAUGCGUAGAUAUCAGGAGGAACACCGGCGGCGAAGGCGGCUUACUGGACUGUAACUGACGUUGAGGCUCGAAGGCGUGGGGAGCAAACAGGAUUAGAUACCCUUGUAGUC
rnacentral:rRNA from 1 species